rnacentral:rRNA from 1 species
GAUGAACGCUGGCGGCGUGCCUAAUACAUGCAAGUCGAGCGAACAGACGAGGAGCUUGCUCCUCUGACGUUAGCGGCGGACGGGUGAGUAACACGUGGAUAACCUACCUAUAAGACUGGGAUAACUUCGGGAAACCGGAGCUAAUACCGGAUAAUAUAUUGAACCGCAUGGUUCAAUAGUGAAAGACGGUUUUGCUGUCACUUAUAGAUGGAUCCGCGCCGCAUUAGCUAGUUGGUAAGGUAACGGCUUACCAAGGCGACGAUGCGUAGCCGACCUGAGAGGGUGAUCGGCCACACUGGAACUGAGACACAGUCCAGACUCCUACGGGAGGCAGCAGUAGGGAAUCUUCCACAAUGGACGAAAGCCUAACGGAGCAACGCCGCGUGAGUGAUGAAGGUCUUCGGAUCGUAAAACUCUGUUAUUAGGGAAGAACAAAUGUGUAAGUAACUAUGCACGUCUUGACGGUACCUAAUCAGAAAGCCACGGCUAACUACGUG